rnacentral:tRNA from 1 species
GCCUGGGUGGCUCAGUAGGUUGAGCAUCUGACUUUGGGUCAGGUCACAAUCUCAUGGUUCAUGGGUUCGAGCCCUUCAUCGGGCU